rnacentral:misc_RNA from 1 species
GAUGAAGAACGCAGCGAAAUGCGAUAAGUAAUGUGAAUUGCAGAAUUCAGUGAAUCAUCGAAUCUUUGAACGCACAUUGCGCCCGCCAGCAUUCUGGCGGGCAUGCCUGUUCGAGCGUCAUUUCAACCCUCGAGCCCCCCCGGGGGCCGCGGUGUUGGGGGACGGCACACCAGCCGCCCCCGAAAUGCAGUGGCGACCCCGCCGCAGCCUCCCCUGCGUAGUAGCACACACCUCGCACCGGAGCGCGGAGGCGGUCACGCCGUAAAACGCCCAACUUUCUUAGAGUUGACCUCGGAUCAGGUAGGAAUACCCGCUGAACUUAAGCAUAUCAAUAAGCGGAGGA